UGAUCUAACAUGCCGCGUGAGUGAAGAAAGCCUUAGGGUCGUAAAGCUCUUUCCCCUGUGAUGAUAAUGACGGUAUCUGGUAAAGAAACCCCGGCUAACUCCGUGCCAGCAGCCGCGGUAAUACGGAGGGGGUUAGCGUUGUUCGGAAUUACUGGGCGUAAAGGGCACGUAAGCGGAUUAGAAAGUUGGGGGUGAAAUCCCGGGGCUCAACCCCGGAACUGCCUCAAAACUGCUAAUCUAGAGUUCGAGAGAGGUGAGUGGAAUUCCGAGUGUAGAGGUGAAAUUCGUAUAUAUUCGGAGGAACACCAGUGGCGAAGGCGGCUCACUGGCUCGAUACUGACGCUGAGGUGCGAAAGUGUGGGGAGCAAACAGGAUUAGAUACCCUGGUAGUCCACACCGUAAACGAUGAAUGCCAGUCGUCGGAUAGUAUACUAUUCGGUGACACACCUAACGGAUUAAGCAUUCCGCCUGGGGAGUACGGUCGCAAGAUUAAAACU
rnacentral:rRNA from 1 species